rnacentral:misc_RNA from 1 species
GCCGACCCUAAUAAAUUUAUGAGAUAAAGGCCUAGUUGAGUUGGGUUGAGUAUAGAUAGGUGUUGGAUUCACUACCAAUUAAUAAAAAAUGGAAACUGAUUCCUUUUGACAAUAAUUACAGCAGGAUAUUUUUCUUAACUGAUAAUUUCUUCAAAAUGAGAGAGUUUUUCAUGUGUGACACCUCCUCCCCAUCCUUUUCAAAAAGAAACCAAAAUAAUAAUAAAUGCAUAGAGGCGCAUUUGAAUGCU